rnacentral:misc_RNA from 1 species
CCGAGUUUACAACUCCCAAACCCCUGUGAACAUACCAAUUGUUGCCUCGACGGAUCAGCCCGCUCCCGGUAAAACGGGACGGCCCGCCAGAGGACCCCUAAACUCUGUUUCUAUAUGUAACUUCUGAGUAAAACCAUAAAUAAAUCA